rnacentral:lncRNA from 1 species
GAAAACUGACCCUCCGUGAAAGUAAUAAACUUGCUGCUCUGAACAUCAGAUCCAUAAGCAGGAGUAACAGGUAACCUGAAGUGUCACCUCCAAGAACGGGACCCAGCCCCACAAUGAGGAAGCAAUUUAACUCUGCCUUAGCCUUGAAAAUGUGACAAAACUGAGUUGGACAGCAGUCUUGAGACACAUGGGACAAAAGGCGAGAUUCGUUCUGUCCGGGGAAAAACAAGAUUUUCAGGACAAAUGAGAGAGUGACAGAUUCAUAAAGAGAGUGACAAAUUCAUCGAUGAAGACUGCGGAGAGGAGAGGUGAGGAAGCCACAGGCAGUCAGCAGAAAGCAGUGAGCUGCUCCCUCCACAGGCCCGGCAGCGGCAGCCCCGCGAUCUCCAGGGUGGACGUCGGUACUUCAUGGCAACCUGCACUGCCAGGUGCUCCUGCCCAACUGUCGGCUAACAUUUACCCAUUCCAAGCGCACUUAAGAAAAGAAAUCUAGGGUGUUGGCUACGUUUGCUCAUGUUGAGAAUGCAAAAGGCCACUGUUUCUUAAGCGGCUCUUGCACAACAAAGAAAAACUACCUGCUCCCUGGCCCAGCUGCCUGCUUUGCUGGAGAAGGCAGGCGGGGUGGAGACUCCUCCAGGAGGUGUUUAAUAAUCUGCAAAGGUCCAGACAGCAACCCGGGGCAGACACAGCUCAAGCCAGCCAACCUGACCAUUGGAAAGAAAGGAGGAGAAUGCACACUUUCCUGGGUUCAGCUCUCUGGGGUCCCCAACACCUCCUCUUUGUGGCCAUCUUGUCCCCUGGCACCAAAGCUGAGCUCAGAGGAAAGCACCUGCCAUGAUCCACUCUGUCUCUGCCGCCUCCCUGCCCACUCCUGUGGGAAGCUCCCUCUCGGCAUCUGUCCGUCAUCAGCAUCUGUCCGUCAUCGGCAUCUGUCUGUCACGGGUCAUCUGCCGCACCACACUGAGAACCCAUGAGUGCCAAAUGUCCCCCGUCAGCUGGCCCACCCGCAUUUCAUCUUCCUGGCUUAAGAAGGUUAAAAUCACCAGAAUAAUCAGGAACUAAACAGUGAAUCUUCUCUUUCUGACCUGCCCAACUCUUAGCCUUAUUUGUGACCCCCAGAAGUCUUAACUACUUAUAUUCAAGUCUGUGUUUUCCUGAAUUAACAGUCACUCAGCAUUGAAUGGCAAACUAUUUCUCACAAAAAUUGUAUCGGUGGAAAAAAAGUGAAACUUGUUCACUACACCCUUAAGUAUCAACUGAGAAAGAAUCUGCUAAAGCCACAAACGACCAUUCUGUACAACUUUCAAUGCAUCAUUUACUGUACUAAAUUUCAAAGAACAUUCUCGAAUGCUAAAAUAAAUCAAUGCCCAAACACAGUGUCUUGUCAGCUCAUGCAAUAUAGGUUAAAUAGUACCAUAUGGCAAAGACAGACACAUGUUGCCCUUUUCUGAAACAAAAAAAUUCCUAAACAAAUGUCCUUUACUUUCACAUGGGAAGAGUGGGGGAUUAGAGAGUUCUUCAAGUGUUAAUAGCGCUGAAAAAUUUUUAAUUCUUAGCCAUUAACAAGAAAUUAUAGUUUUAAUAGAGAACCUUGAUUUUUUAAGCCU